rnacentral:rRNA from 1 species
GGAGUUUGGGCCGUGUCUCAGUCCCAAUGUGGCCGUUCACCCUCUCAGGCCGGCUACUGAUCGUCGCCUUGGUGGGCCGUUACCUCACCAACUAGCUAAUCAGACGCGGGUCCAUCUUAUCCCGAUAAAUCUUUUCACACUGUUUCAUGCGAAACUGUGCGCUUAUGCGGUAUUAGCAGUAAUUUCUCACUGUUAUCCCCCUGGAUAAGGCAGGUUACCCACGCGUUACUCACCCGUCCGCCACUAAGAUUACAACUUAGCAAGCUAAAAAGUAAUCUCCGUUCGACUUGCAUGUGUUAAGCACGCCGCCAGCGUUCAUC